rnacentral:rRNA from 1 species
AUUGAACGCUGGCGGCAGGCCUAACACAUGCAAGUCGAGCGGAUGAAGGGAGCUUGCUCCUGGAUUCAGCGGCGGACGGGUGAGUAAUGCCUAGGAAUCUGCCUGGUAGUGGGGGAUAACGUCCGGAAACGGGCGCUAAUACCGCAUACGUCCUGAGGGAGAAAGUGGGGGAUCUUCGGACCUCACGCUAUCAGAUGAGCCUAGGUCGGAUUAGCUAGUUGGUGGGGUAAAGGCCUACCAAGGCGACGAUCCGUAACUGGUCUGAGAGGAUGAUCAGUCACACUGGAACUGAGACACGGUCCAGAGUCCUGCGGGAGGCAGCAGUGGGGAAUAUUGGACAAUGGGGGAAAGCCUGAUCCAGCCAUGCCGCGUGUGUGAAGAAGGUCUUGGGAUUGUAAAGCACUUUAAGUUGGGAGGAAGGGCAGUAAGUUAAUACCUUGCUGUUUUGACGUUACCAACAGAAUAAGCGCCGGCUAACUUCGUG